UGUGAAAUGACCACAAACACACACACUAACACACAGUAGUGCUGUGUGUCUCUGGCUGUGUAGUAUGUUAUAAAUAUCCUCCAUCUGAAGGCGUGACGUCAAACCAACAGGGAGGAAAACCUUCACACACGGUCGCCAUGACGCCUCACGCCUCAGCAGCCAAUCAGAGAGCAGACCUCCCGCCUGCAUCACUUCCUCCUCUGACCGGCGGCCAACCAGCAGCCAUCUGUCGCCUCCAGACUUCACUCUGAGCUACAGCUCCAAUAAUCCAUCACCGAUAAUCUACAGUCAGCUGACCAAUGGGAGUCAAUGGGAGUCAAUGGGAGGAGGUCGGGGUGGAUGGAGGGUCCACAGCGCCAAGACCUGGGUGACGUUGACGGUGGGCAGGGUCUCGCUGGCUGGGUUCCUGCUGGAGGUGAUCUUGGUGACCAUGGUGGGCUGUGGAGGUCCAGGUCCCAGCCCUGGAGCUCUGAUCUGGGGUCCUCCUCCCCCGGAGCCCUGCAGAGAGAUGGGACUGUGUGGUCCACUGCUGGAGCUGGAGGAAGACCUCCGCCUGAUGAAGGCAAUCUCCACUGUGGGGUCAGGUCUGAGGAACAGGAGAGUUUAAAAACAUCAGACAGCAAUAAUUUACAGGAUCAAUAAAUUGUAGUUACAUAGACCUGAUCAUCAAUUUAGUCUGAAUUCUUAUUUGAGAAGCAAACUAAAUAAAUACAUUUAUAAAAACCCAAUAAAUAUAUGAGCAGAAGGGAGCAAACCCAGUAAAACCUGCUGAUUUGAAGCUACCACUAUCUGCUGCUUCUGUUUCUGUUGAAUAACUGAUGCUUUAGAAAGAGUCUCCAGGUGAGUUUACCUGAGUUUGGUUCUUGUCAGGAUGCUUCUGGCCUCCUCAUACGUCACUCCAAUCAGAGAUUCUUUGUUGAUGGACACCAGCUGAUCCCCGACCUGCAGCCUGCCGUCCUGAAACACCAGGAAAACCAAGAAAACACAAUAAAAACACAAAGAAGACACAAUGACAACACCAUGAAAACACAAUGAAAACACCAUGAAAACACCAAGAAAACACCAUGAAAACACCACGAAGACACAAUGAAAACACGACGAAGACACAAUGAAGACACAAUAAAAACACCAUGAAAACACCAUGAAGACACCAAGAAAACACCAUGAAAACACCAUGAAGACACAAUGAAAACACCAUGAAAACACCAUGAAAACACCAUGAAGACACAAUGAAAACACCAUGAAAACACCAUGAAAACACCAUGAAGACACAAUGAAAACACCAUGAAAACACCAUGAAAACACCAUGAAGACACAAUGAAAACACCAUGAAAACACCAUGAAAACACCAAGAAAACACCAUGAAGACACCAAGAAAACACCAAGAAAACACCAUGAAGACACAAUGAAAACACGACGAAGACACAAUGAAGACACAAUAAAAACACCAUGAAAACACCAUGAAGACACCAAGAAAACACCAUGAAAACACCAUGAAAACACCAUGAAGACACCAAGAAAACACCAAGAAAACACCAUGAAGACACAAUGAAAACACCAUGAAAACACAAUGAAAACACCAUGAAGACACCAAGAAACACCAUGAAAACACCAUGAAGACACCAAGAAAACACCAUGAAAACACCAUGAAAACACCAUGAAAACACCAUGAAAACACCAUGAAGACACCAAGAAAACACCAAGAAAACACCAUGAAGACACAAUGACAACACCAUGAAAACACAAUGAAAACACCAUGAAGACACCAAGAAAACACCAUGAAAACACCACGAAGACACAAUGAAAACACGAUGAAGACACAAUGAAGACACAAUAAAAACACCAUGAAAACACCAUGAAGACACCAAGAAAACACCAUGAAAACACCAUGAAAACACCAUGAAAACACCAUGAAAACACCAUGAAGACACCAAGAAAACACCAAGAAAACACCAUGAAGACACCAAGAAAACACCAAGAAAACACCAUGAAGACACAAUGAAAACACCAAGAAAACACCAUGAAAACAUCAUGAAGACACAAUGAAAAAGUCUAAGUCAUGAACACGGUUGAAGUAUCUCAUGACAUUUUGAGCACUUUUUAAUCAUUUAGGACCAUUUCUGAGUCAUUUUGGACAAAUGUUUGAAUCCUGGGUUGAGUCUAAGUCAUGAAAAUGUCUUCAGACAUUUUGAGCACAUUUUAAAAAAAAUCUGGACAAAGGAUGAGUCAUGUCAAACAAGUUUUACGUCAUUUUGGACACAUUUUCAGCCACUUUAGACACUGUUAGAGUCACUUUGAAGAGAUUUUUAGUGAUUUAGGACAAAUGUUUAGCUAUUUCGGACAUAUUUUUAGUAUUAUUGGACAAGUCCUAAGACAUUUUGACCAUUAUUUAAUCAAUUUGGACAAACUAUGAGUCAUUUGAGGCAAGUUUUAUGACAUUUUAGACAGUCAUCCAUCCAUCCUCUGUACACCACUUUAUCCUCACUAGGGUCAUGGGGGGUGCUGGAGUCUAUCCCAGCUGACUCGGGUGAAGGCAGGGGACACCCUGGACAGGUCACCAGUCUGUCACAGGGCUCAUUUCAGACAUAUUUUCAGUGUUUUUAGUCAGUGAGAAAACGUUCUGGACGUAUGCUUCUUCAUCUCAUCGGCUUCAUUCUCAGCUGUUGGUCCAUGCUCCAGCCUCUUUACAUUUACUGAAUCUUUAGAACCAAUCAUUGAUCAGACCAUACUGACCUUCUGACAGUCUCCUCCAGGCACUAUUUCCUGAAUGAACACCAUUGGUCCUUCGGCACGGUUGGCUCCGCCCUUGAUGACCAGCCCCAGGCCCGUUCCCUUGGCAACGCAUAUCAACUGAAUGACACUGUCACUGGAGAGAGGAAGAUGAUUAAAGUAACACCAGCCGUCCUCCUCCCACUGCUGAAGAUGCUCUUCACUAUUUAUAGUGCAACGCUUUAUGUAACGAGACAAAAACAGACUGCUGAAUCAACCAGAUCAGAGAGCUUCAUUCUGCAGAAAUCACAGAAAGUUCAGCUCUUCUCAGGUUGAAUAAAUGAACAGGAGUUUCUAAAAGAUGUCACAUAUGAGAAUCAAGAGUUUGAAGAAGAUAAAUCAUCAAUUAAAGCCUGAAUAAACACUGAUAAAACUAUAUUUAUCACAUGUUCUGUUACAUCUUUUUGUAGCUGCAACAUCAGAUCUAGACCUCACUGAAAAAUACAAACUUCUGCAACAUUUAAUUAGUGCUAGUUUUGUUUUGUUUUGUUCUAUUUUUCAGUGAUGAAUUAGUGAAUUUCAGAAGUUGGAACAUUCCUGUAAACUGUGAGAACGUUUUAUUACUAAACAGAUCAUUUCCAAAAAGUGGUGAGAAAUUAUUUUAUCAAAUCUGCAAAUGACGCUUUACGAAAAUCAAGAAUUCUUUCACCAAUAAGAAUGAAUUUUUGUUGUAGAUGUUGGAUCAAUAAUUUAACUGCAAAUAGAAAACAGUUUUAUAAAUUCCACCAUUGAAUAUCACCUGUUUCUGAUCUAUAUUAAUGUAACUAGCAUGAGCAAUAAUUAGUGGUUAACUUUAAAGGAGGAUCACGGAGUAGAGUUUUGCUUUAUCAGCAUUGGAGAUGAGUUGUGAGGAGUACAAAAAGGUUUGUAAGGCGUUGACGGUAAACAGAAUCAGUGAAAUAAGUAACAGCAUCGUCUGCAUACAGGCUGAUACUGGAUCCACUGAUGUCUGGUUGCUUUAACAGAAAAACAGUUUAGUUUUUAUCUGACAAAGUAAAACACUUUGUGGCUCCAUUCUGAUAACUUCUCAGUGAAUGCAGGAGGACUGAAGUUAUUUGUGUUCACCUGAAGGCGUGCGCAGGCGUGUGCACGGCGUGCUGGUGGCUGGUGUAGGUGGAGGCCUGGCUGUAGGCGGUGACCCCCUCUUUAGGGCUCAGCAGCUGGGGGCUCUCUGAUCGGGAGGAAGAGGAGGAUGAAGCCGUGUCCGUCAGCUUCCCUGAAUAAAAACCACAGAAGAAGAAAGAGGCGAGGUGAGCAGUGGGAGGCAGAAAUAGAAGAAUAGAAGAAGAGUGGGAGGACGGAGACCAACUCAGAUCUUCACAGGAGCUGCAGGAAGUGAUCGCUGCUGUUAAACGUUUAGGUGGAAAAUGAGAAGUUUGAGGAGCUUCAGGACACUUUUAGGAAGGACGGCAUUUUAGGAGAUGUCUGGAAAAUACAGAUGAAGAUUCUCCUAGAACUUUGUAAAGUAACGGCAUUUUGGAAAAGUCAAGACAUUUUUGUGUCAACAUUUGUGGAGUAGAGAAGUUUCUGUAAGUGAGAACUUCAAUAAGUGAGAAGUUUGGAACAUUUUUGGAAAUGUAAACAAGUAAAGAAAGGACGUUCCUACAAAGUUUGGUCAUAAUGAAGGUACUUUUGGAGGCAUUUCUUGAAAACGAUUCCGUUUUUGGAAACAUUGGACGUUUUUGAAGAACUGAGGAUUUUCUGAGUAUUUUGGACAUUUGCAGAAAGUGACUCGUGUUGAAAAGUGUAAACAUUUGUUUGGUAAAGACGUUUUAGGUAAGGAGUGUUUUUAAGUGAGAACUCAAAUAGAAUUUUUUGGGGUAAUUUUGGAACAUUUUGCUUUUAAAAAUGCUUUUUUUUACAGUAAAGAAGUUCUUGUAAAGUUUGGUCAUUUCUGUAAAGUCAACAUAUUUUUGGAAAAGUGAAGACAUUUUUGUGUAAACAGUCUUCAAAGUAGAAAUAUGAGAACUUCAGUCCAAGUUUUUGUGGAACUUUUCAAACAUUUCUGGGAAUGGUGGACAAAUGAGGAUGUUUUGUUUUUUUAAAUAAGGAAGUUCUUGUAAAGUUUGGUAAUUCCUGUAAAGAUUCUUCUGGAAAAUGGGCUCAUUUUUGUAAAGCAAGGACACGUUGAAAAAGUGAGGCCUGUUUAACAAAUGAUGCCGAUUUUGGAAAUUCUGGACGUUUUUUGAAAAAGUGAGAAUUUUCUAGAUCUUUGGACAUUUUUAAAAAGCGACAGCAUUUUUGAAAACAGUCUUGUGUCAACAGUCAUUUAAUUAGAAACGUGAGAACUUUACUAGAGUUUUGGUGAAGUUUUGGAACAUUUCAGGAAACGGUGGAAAAGUAAGGAAGUUUUUAAGUAAGAAAGUUCUUGUGAUAGUUUUGUAACUUCUGUAAAGUUAUUCUUGGAAAAUGAAGACAUUUUAGCCUAAAAAUGAUGCCGUUUCUUGGAAACUCUGGACAUUUUGGUAAAAUAAGAAACGUUUUGUAAAACGACGGCAUUUUUGAAAAGAUUAGGAUUCUCCUGGAAUUGAGGAUAUUUUUUAGAACUUCCUUUACAAAACUGUAAAUGGAGGAUGGAUGUAAAAUGAUCUUUUUGAAAACAUUAGGACUUUUUUAAAACAGUGGAUGUCUUCUGAGAUGUGAAUAUUUUUGUUGUGCUUUACAGAGGUGGGACGUUUUUCACAAAGUGAGAACUUUUCUAGGAUUAAGAACAUUUUUAUAAACUGAAUAUUAUGUUUGUAAAGUGAAGACAUUUUUGUAAAUAAAAGAUGUUUGUGUAAAAUGAGGAUAUUUUAAGAACGAGAAAAUAAAAAGCACAAUCAGGAAAUGUCUUCAAAAAGAGAACAUCUUUUGAAAGAGAAGUUUUAGAGAUUUUUCAAGAAAAGAGUGAAGAGAAAAAUACUGAAGACUUUUUUUUCUGAACAGUCGGGGAGUUUUCUAAACGUUGGAACAUUUUGGACCAUCAGUAUGUUCAGAAAGUCAGAAUAUUUCUGGACAACGCCUUCUGAACGUCUGAAGAUCUUCUAAAGAGUUUUGUGGAGAAAUUUUGGGACAUUUUUAUUUCAUUGUUUUACUUCAAAGGUUCAGUUGCUGCAGAACAUCUGGAGUCCUGAGUCUGAUAAAUGUUUAAUUAAAUGUUUGAUAAAUGUUUGAUAAAUAUUUAAUUAAAUGUUUGAUAAAUGUUGGACUAAAUGUUUAAUUAAAUGUCUGAUUAAAUGUCUGAUUAAAUGUUUGAUAACUGUUUAAUAAAUAUUUAAUAAAAUGUUUGAUAAAUGUUA